rnacentral:rRNA from 1 species
UACGGAGGGUGCGAGCAUUAAUCGAAUUUAUUGGGCGUAAAGGGCGCGUAGGCGGGAAUGUAAGUCAGAUGUGAAAUCCCGGGGCUCAACCCCGGAACAGCAUUUGAAACUGCAUACCUAGAGGGUAGUCGGAGAAAACAGAAUUCCACAAGUAGCGGUGAAAUGCGUAGAUAUGUGGAAGAAUACCGGUGGCGAAGGCGGUUUUCUAGAUUAUACCUGACGCUGAGGCGCGAAAGCAAGGGGAUCAAACAGG